UACGAAGGGGGCUAGCGUUGUUCGGAAUCACUGGGCGUAAAGCGCACGUAGGCGGAUGUGCCAGUCAGGGGUGAAAUCCCGGAGCUCAACUCCGGAACUGCCUCUGAUACAGCACGUCUUGAGUUCGAGAGAGGUGGGUGGAAUUCCUAGUGUAGAGGUGAAAUUCGUAGAUAUUAGGAAGAACACCGGUGGCGAAGGCGGCCCACUGGCUCGAUACGUGACGCUGAGGUGCGAAAGCGUGG
rnacentral:rRNA from 1 species